rnacentral:rRNA from 1 species
AGAGUUUGAUCCUGGCUCAGGACGAACGCUGGCGGCGUGCCUAAUACAUGCAAGUCGAGCGAGCGGAACCAACAGAUUUACUUCGGUAAUGACGUUGGGAAAGCGAGCGGCGGAUGGGUGAGUAACACGUGGGGAACCUGCCCCUAAGUCUGGGAUACCAUUUGGAAACAGGUGCUAAUACCGGAUAAUAAAGCAGAUCGCAUGAUCAGCUUUUGAAAGGCGGCGUAAGCUGUCGCUAAGGGAUGGCCCCGCGGUGCAUUAGCUAGUUGGUAAGGUAACGGCUUACCAAGGCGACGAUGCAUAGCCGAGUUGAGAGACUGAUCGGCCACAUUGGGACUGAGACACGGCCCAAACUCCUACGGGAGGCAGCAGUAGGGAAUCUUCCACAAUGGACGCAAGUCUGAUGGAGCAACGCCGCGUGAGUGAAGAAGGUUUUCGGAUCGUAAAGCUCUGUUGUUGGUGAAGAAGGAUAGAGGUAGUAACUGGCCUUUAUUUGACGGUAAUCAACCAGAAAGUCACGGCUAACUACGUGCCAGCAGCCGCGGUAAUACGUAGGUGGCAAGCGUUGUCCGGAUUUAUUGGGCGUAAAGCGAGCGCAGGCGGAAAAAUAAGUCUAAUGUGAAAGCCCUCGGCUUAACCGAGGAAUUGCAUCGGAAACUGUUUUUCUUGAGUGCAGAAGAGGAGAGUGGAACUCCAUGUGUAGCGGUGGAAUGCGUAGAUAUAUGGAAGAACACCAGUGGCGAAGGCGGCUCUCUGGUCUGCAACUGACGCUGAGGCUCGAAAGCAUGGGUAGCGAACAGGAUUAGAUACCCUGGUAGUCCAUGCCGUAAAC